rnacentral:miRNA from 1 species
AAAAGUUAUUGCGGUUUUGGCU